UUGCUCCUACGGGGGGCAGCAGUGAGGAAUAUUGGUCAAUGGGAGAGAUCCUGAACCAGCCAAGCCGCGUGAGGGAAGACGGCCCUAUGGGUUGUAAACCUCUUUUGUCGGAGAACAAAACCCGGGACGUGUCCCGGACUGCGUGUAUCCGAAGAAAAAGCAUCGGCUAACUCCGUGCCAGCAGCCGCGGUAAUACGGAGGAUGCGAGCGUUAUCCGGAUUUAUUGGGUUUAAAGGGUGCGUAGGCGGAUUUUUAAGUCAGCGGCAAAAUGUCCGGGCUCAACCCGGGCCGGCCGUUGAAACUGG
rnacentral:rRNA from 1 species